GGAAUAAAAGUCGUAACAAGGUUUCCGUAGGUGAACCUGCGGAAGGAUCAUUAAAAGAGUAUUUGUUGUGUGUGCGUUAAGUGCACAAACAUGAAUGCCCGAGCAGGGAUUUCUUUGCUCGUGACAUGGAAGCGUAUUUGAUUGUCUGAGUGUGUAAUUUUAAAAAAAUAACCUUUAACAAUGGAUCUCUUGGCUCUU
rnacentral:misc_RNA from 1 species